rnacentral:rRNA from 1 species
CCUACGGGAGGCAGCAGUGAGGAAUAUUGGUCAAUGGACUCAAGUCUGAACCAGCCAUGCCGCGUGCAGGAAGACGGCUCUAUGAGUUGUAAACUGCUUUUGUAAGAGGGUAAACGCAGAUACGCGUAUCUGUCUGAAAGUAUCGUACGAAUAAGGAUCGGCUCACUCCGUGCCAGCAGCCGCGGUAAUCCGGAGGAUUCAAGCGUUAUCCGGAUUUAUUGGGUUUACAGGGUGCGUAGGCGGUCGGAUAAGUUAGAGGUGAAAUCCCGAGGCUCAACUUCGGAAUUGCCUCUGUUACUGUGCGGCUAGAGAGUAGUUGCGGUAGGCGGAAUGUAUGGUGUAGCGGGGAAAUGCUUAGAGAUCAUACAGAACACAGAUUGCGAAGGCAGCUUACCAAGCUACUUCUGACGUUGAGGCACGAAAGCGUGGGGAGCAAACAGGAUUAGAUACCCCAGUAGUC